UUCCUAGGAAAGAGGGUAUCGGGAAAAUGUUCUAAAGAGAGCAGUGUGACAUCUUACACUGUUCUGUUUAAUAGACACCGGUUGUCCAGAUUUGGUGUGUGGCAAAUGUAUGACUACAAACAUACAUACAUACAUACAUACAUACAUACAUACAUACAUACAUACAUACAUCAAGGAACAUCCACUGUAAUUUUUAUGGCACCAAACUUAUUUAUUUUGAUGGUGGGAUUUAAUAUUUCAUUUUCAGAUAUACAAGGAUAUUAAGUUGAAGUGUGGGUGGUAGUCUUUUUCAU
rnacentral:lncRNA from 1 species